rnacentral:rRNA from 1 species
AAUGGCCUAACGGCUGAACCAGCAAUUUGGAAGAUCGUAUAGCUAUUGCUAGUUGUGUGCCUAACAAUGGGAUAUAUAUCAUAAUACUCGUUGUAUCAUAGGCUAACAAUUUCUUAAUUGAGUAAAGAUCUGGGUAUAAUAAAAUUUGAUAAUGACAGAGCUUUAUAUCCAUAUGUCUUGACCAAAUCACGUGCCAGCAGUCGCGGUAAUACGUGGAAGACUAGUGUUAUUCAUCUUUAAUAGGUUUAAAGGGUACCUAGACGGUAUUUUCAGCCAAAUAAGGUACUGAUUUACUAGAGUUUGAUAUAAAAAGGUAGUAUUUUUGGUGUAGGGAUGAAAUUCUGUAAUACCUUAAGGACUGGUAGUAGGCGAAGGCAACCUUUUAUGUAAAAACUGACGUUGAGGGACGAAGGCUUGGGGAGCGAUAAGGAUUAGAUACCCUAGUAGUCCAAGCAGAAAAUUAUGAAUGUCAUAUGUUAGAUCCUUUUUAGCGUAUAAAUGAAAGUGCAAGCAUUCCACCUCAAGAGUAAUGCGGCAACGCAGGAACUGAAAUCAUUAGACCGUUUUUGAAACCAGUAGUGAAGUAUGUUGUUUAAUUCGAUGACCCGCGAAAAACCUUACCACAAUUCGAACCCUCCAAGCGUUGCACGGCUGUCUUCAGUUAAUGUCGUGAGAUUUUGGUUAGAUCCAUAAAAUUAACGUAAACCCUAACUUUAUUUUUAUUAUAAAGUUGUCCGUCACUAUAUUGGUUAUGGUAAUAGGGACUAAGACAAGUCAUCAUGGCCUUAAUAUUGUGGGCUAUAGACGUGCCACAUAUACCUAUACAAAGGGAUGCAAAAAUGUGAAUUAGAGCUAACCCCUAAAGUAGGAUAUAAUAU